ensembl:lncRNA
CUCCACAGAGCUGGAUCUCAGUCAAAGGUGAGAAACUGUUUCAUAUCGUUUAAUCAUUAAAGCAAAACUUAAUUUAAGUUGUAAAUUAUUUUAAUGUAAUUCAUGUCCCAUUAUGUCUUUAGGUCGUUAUAUUCGUGCAAGUGUGGCAUUGGGGCUAUCCCUGGGUCUAUCCCUAUUAUUCCUCAUAAUACUGGGCCUGAUUUGUUACUACAAGAUUAAGAAAGGAAAGCAGCAGAACACGAGUCAGAAUCCAGCACCUACACCUCUGCAGGCUGAUGACUCCUCAGCUCAAUCCAGUGAUAUAACGUACGCAGCUGUUUUGCACCCUAAAAGGAAACGGAAUCGGAAAAAUGAUGCUGAGCCAGGACCAAAUGAAGUGACCUACUCCCAGAUCAGUUUGAAAACACUUGAUUGCAAAGGUGAAGCUCAACCCAGUGAUGUGACUUAUGCUGCUAUUGAUCUGACACCAAUGAAGAAGAAAAAGAAACAGAAAGAUGCUAAAGCUGAACCCAGUGAUGUGACUUACGCUGAUAUUAAUCUGAAACCAAAGAAGAAGCCCAAGAAACAGAAACACAAUCUGCAGGGAGGUCAGAGCAGUGUGGGGGAUGAUACAGUCUACUCUGAACUGAAGUAGAAAGCAGACUAGAAGGGCAAGCUGACUUUAAUUGUUGGCUUAAAUUAAAGUGUAUUAAGAAUAUUUUACAACCCUCAGGGUUUGGCAAUGCUUAUUCACCGUAGAAAGAGAAAAAAAAUACAUGUGAAAAUGACAAAUUUAAUAAUACUAGUAGUAGUACUUUAAGUGGUAGUAGAGCUUGUAAGAGUAGUAGAACUAGUAGUUGCUGUAGUACUAAUAGUAGUAGCAGUAAUGAUAAUGAUAGUAGUAGUAGCAGUAGCAGUAGUAUUAGUAAUGAUAAUAGUAGUAGUAGUAGUAAUGAUAGUAGUAGUAGCAGUAGCAGUAGUAUUAGUAAUGAUAAUAGUAGUAGUAGUAGUAAUGAUAGUAGUAGUAGCAGCAGUAGUUGAAAUAGUAGUAUUAGUAGCACAAGCAGUAGUUGUGAUCAUAUUCCCAGCAGUAGUAGCUGUAUUAAACCAGCAGUUAAAGUAGAUUUUGUAGAAACUAUAGUUGCAGCAGCAGCAAUAGAAAUAGUAGUAGCAGUAGUAGUAGUAGUAACAGAAUCAGUUGUGUUGGCUUUAGUACUAAAAGAUAGUUGUAGCUGCUGCUGUAGUAAUUGUAGUUAUAGUAGUAAUAAUAAUAGAAAUAGGAACAUUGUCAGUACAAUGGUAGUAAUAGAGGCAGAAGCAUUGUUAGCAGCAGUAGUAGCAGUAUUAGCAAUAGCAUUAUUAGCAGUAAUGGUAGUGGCAGUAGCAGUAUUAGCACUAGUAGCAGUGUUCGCAGUAUCGACACUAGCAGUAUUAGUAGUAAUAGCAGUGGCAGUAGCAGUAUGAUGAGUAUUAGCACUAGUAGCAGUGUUAGCAGUAUCAGCAAUAGCAGUAUUAGGAGUAAGGGUAGUGGCAGUAGCAGUAUUAGCACUAGUGGCAGUGUUAGCAGUAUCAGUAGGGUGACCAAACGUCCUGGGUUUUUUUCAAAAAGUGAGGAAAUGUCCUUGUUUUUAAAUUAUUGGACUUCAUUGGACCAUUAAAUUUACAGGCACUAGGGCACUGCGCACGGUGCAGCGUGUGACAUAAUCCCUGAGUCGCGUCAGUGAGAGCAGCCCUGUUCUUAAUCAGAAUGUAGACAGUGUGACUGUCAGUCAGUGCUGCCAACUUAGCGACUUUGUCGCUAUAUUUAGCCAAUUUUCAGCCCCUUUAGCGACUUUUUUGGUAAAAAAAAUUUGACUACCGACAAAUCGAGUUUUUGUGGUGUUAUUGGAGACUUUUCGCGACUCUCAGUCAGAGCUUACACACCACUCCACCAUCACCGUGCCCACAGCCACCACUGACUGACCCCGCCCUGUAUUUACAGAUCAGGAUGUAAAUAUAACAUUUAAGAACACAGCAAAAAAAACUCAUUUAUUUCACAUAAAAAUUAAGUUACUGUAAAAAAAGUGACUGCCUAUUUAAAAAGCAACAGAUGUUGUUCAUUUGUAACAUUAACAUAUUUAGGAUGUUUUUUUACACGUUUAUCCAAAUGAAAAUAUGGUCACCCUAAUUAUCAGCAAUAGCAGUAAUAGUAGUGGCAGUAGCAGUACUAGCACUAGUAGCAGUAUUAGCAGUAUUAGCACUAGUAGCAGUGUUAGCAGUAUAAGCAAUAGCAGUAUUAGCAGUAAUGGUAGUGGCAGCAGCAGUAGUAGCAGUAUUAGCACUAGUAGCAGUGUUAGCAGUAUCAGCAAUAGCAGUAUUAGCAGUAAUGGCUGGCAGCGCAGUUUGGUUUGUUUACAUAAUUUAAUGUACAAUAGAAUAAAAUGGUGAAUGCUUGCUGUGUUAUCA